rnacentral:lncRNA from 1 species
CAAGAUACAGCUGUAGUUGAGACUGCUCAUUAUGCUACGUUUGCAGAUGCAAAUCAACUGCCUCAAACAUUUCUUAACAACAAUAGUGCUUGUGGGUUCAUUAUAGGAUCAGAACAAAUUCCUGUUGAUCCAUCAUUCUUCAAUGGCUAUCGAGGUAAUCAAGCAGGUACUAUGAGACAGAUCGACAUGACUGCUAUUGGGUACUGUAUUGCUCAAUCAUCUCAGGCUCUACCAGUAAUAGCUGAAGUAAGUGAAGUUUCUGUUCAGUCAUCGGCUCAGCCUUGA